CACUCGUCCAGGCUACAACAAAAAUAGGACAACGCAUGACUAAACAAACAACUGAUAACUUCAAUUACAACGAAAUAAAGGAAGUAAUGAGUAAAAGUUUUUCUAUUUUACGAUGGUAUGACGCAAACACAUAACGCGCGCGAACAAAGAAGGAAAUCGUGUACUCGCGAAAGAUAUCACUUACUACAAGUUGUAACUGGUUUCACAUUAAUCGACAGGCAACCGCGACGUGAUAUCAAGAGAAAUUCUCGUUUGAUAAAUCUUGUCUAUAUCCGUAAUAGUAAAGGACAUGCGAUGGACUGUAAGAAGUCGAAAAUAUCAGAAGAAAACGCUUGUAUAUAUUUAUAAUAUAUAAAUAAUAUUAUAUAUAAAUAAUAUUGUAUGAAUUAGAGAAAUUGGAACGGCAAGCUCAUCAGGUGAAACUGCACCCGAUUUUCAUCAAUCUUAAUGGAAGCAUCCGUAAUCGAAAGGACAAGACUAAAGAAAAAAGGGGACAAAACCAUUUCUCUUAAAAACUCUUUGUCAAAUAUUUUGGAUUAUAUAUUUACAUUAUACUAUUCAUUAAUUAUCGUAAACACAUUUAUUGUCAAACGAAGCUGCAACUUUGUCAUUUGGCGUGGAAGUCUGCCAGAUCUUUGUGAAAGAAUUCACGUGUUGAAUUCAUGAACAAGAAAAUUAAAGGUAUAAAUAGAACACGUGAUACGACCAUCGUAUGAAAAACUCGAUCCGUCGGAGAACUUGAUUCAAAGCUGAACCGAUGUGGCCAGUUCGACAACAAAAAUAACGGCAAACAUUUCCGAGAAACUAUUUGGCGAAAUCGCUUUGUUUAGCCAUGAAGAAAGAAAGGAAGAAAUGGGAAUGCAUUUGCCAGGGUCUUACCUUUUCUAUUGUACCACGGUGAGUCGUAUUCCCUUGCCAAAAUCUUCUAUUGAAUCCCUUGAUGUGUCCCACAGCACUUCUUUUGUAUUUAAAACCUGGAUGCCAGCACAAAGAUCCAUAUCCGAACACCCACAGAAAAUUUUCAUUGUUCCUAGCUUCCAUUUUAUUUAGGAAUUGAAA